UGUAGCCAUGCCUUCUGACCCAAGAGGAGGAAACAGCUCCAGCUCUUUCCCUGACGAUGCCUCAGACCCUAUUCUCUGCUGCUUUUGGCAAACUCACAGCAUCACCUGGACCCUGC
rnacentral:lncRNA from 12 species